GACGAACGCUGGCGGCGUGCUUAACACAUGCAAGUCGAACGGAAAGGCCCUGCUUUUGUGGGGUGCUCGAGUGGCGAACGGGUGAGUAACACGUGAGUAACCUGCCCUUGACUUUGGGAUAACUUCAGGAAACUGGGGCGAAUACCGGAUAGGAGCUCCUGCUGCAUGGUGGGGGUUGGAAAGUUUCGGCGGUUGGGGAUGGACUCGCGGCUUAUCAGCUUGUUGGUGGGGUAGUGGCUUACCAAGGCUUUGACGGGUAGCCGGCCUGAGAGGGUGACCGGCCACAUUGGGACUGAGAUACGGCCCAGAAUCCUACGGGAGGCAGCAGUGGGGAAUAUUGCACAAUGGGCGGAAGCCUGAUGCAGCAACGCCGCGUGCGGGAUGACGGCCUUCGGGUUGUAAACCGCUUUCGCCUGUGACGAAGCGUGAGUGACGGUAAUGGGUAAAGAAGCACCGGCUAACUACGUG
rnacentral:rRNA from 1 species